rnacentral:rRNA from 1 species
UCCGGAGGGGGCUAGCGUUGUUCGGAAUUACUGGGCGUAAAGCGCGCGUAGGCGGCUUUGUAAGUUAGAGGUGAAAGCCCAGGGCUCAACCCUGGAAUUGCCUUUAAGACUGCAUCGCUUGAACAUCGGAGAGGUAAGUGGAAUUCCGAGUGUAGAGGUGAAAUUCGUAGAUAUUCGGAAGAACACCAGUGGCGAAGGCGACUUACUGGACGAUUGUUGACGCUGAGGUGCGAAAGCGUGGGGAGCAAACAGG